rnacentral:rRNA from 1 species
AGUGAACGCUGGCGGUAGGCCUAACACAUGCCAGUCGAACGGCAGCACAGUAAGAGCUUGCUCUUACGGGUGGCGAGUGGCGGACGGGUGAGGAAUACAUCGGAAUCUACUUUUUCGUGGGGGAUAACGUAGGGAAACUUACGCUAAUACCGCAUACGACCUACGGGUGAAAGCAGGGGAUCUUCGGACCUUGCGCGAUUGAAUGAGCCGAUGUCGGAUUAGCUAGUUGGCGGGGUAAAGGCCCACCAAGGCGACGAUCCGUAGCUGGUCUGAGAGGAUGAUCAGCCACACUGGAACUGAGACACGGUCCAGACUCCUACGGGAGGCAGCAGUGGGGAAUAUUGGACAAUGGGCGCAAGCCUGAUCCAGCCAUACCGCGUGGGUGAAGAAGGCCUUCGGGUUGUAAAGCCCUUUUGUUGGGAAAGAAAAGCAGUAGGUUAAUACCCCGCUGUUCUGACGGUACCCAAAGAAUAAGCACCGGCUAACUUCGUG